AAUCAAAGCCCAUCUCACAAACAGCAUAUGAGGCUCAUUUAUGCUUUUACAUAUUCGUUCAUUGAUCCACCUCUCCCAUUCCUUUUUCUUAAUCCAAAUUAUGCGGCUGUAAAUUUUGUAUUGGAGUUGCAAGCAUGCACAGGUGGUUGUUACUGGUUUCAAAGUACUUGCUACAACUGACUGUUAUUUUUGGUGCAGGAACACCCUGGGAUAAGUAAG
rnacentral:misc_RNA from 1 species